GGUGGGGGCUGUGGAGGAGCGAGCGUGCAGUAUGGAGCCUACUGGAUCUGGCGAAGUCCGGCUGAAAGGGCGUCUGCAGGCCCUCUACGCCAGCCUUGGCCCCAUUUUACAGAUGCGGAAACAAAGGCCCAGAGGAAGGGAAGGCGACUCGCCCAGAGGCACGAGCUUGGACUAGAACCCGAGAGCCAGAGCUCCCCCCCUCUCCUCUGCAUCUCCUGAACGCUGAAGGGAGAGGCAGCUCUGCGGGGACGACCGGAAGCUGCCAGAGAAGUCCGUGGUGGGCAUCCGUGGAGAUUGUUGCAGAGCCUCCCUAUUGCCACGGCUGCCAUUGCUCUUGGGGACGACAGAUCAGCUGAACACAGCUCUGCCCCGGAGCCAUGUGGAAGUCAAGAAGUGGACUUGAUCUUAAGGGAGGAACAGAGAUCCUGGGUCAACCCAAGCCUCGUAGAGAAAGCGCGUGGUGGACAUUCGCCCUGGGAGCCGGGGGAUGAGGCUGUUUGUUCUUCUCCGGAGCACUGUGGAGUGUGGCUCUUGAACUCUUUGGGCCUCAGACCUCUUCAGGAUCCGGCAGAAGCUGUCUCCCUCUGCCCUGCUGGCCGCACACACGCACAGGACAGCGAUUACACGGCAGCCCCUCAGAAGCCCAGCUGGGCCCUGCGUUAGGAAGGAGUCCUUCAGGAAGGGGACAGCCCUGAGCCCAGGCUCCCUGGUAUCUUGGCUAAUGAGGGAUGCUAAUGACACGGAGGGUCCAGAAUGAGGAAAAUCGAAACCAGAUUUCUAUCGCGUGAGCUAAAAAGAAGCACGACACACGUCCCGCGUUGCAAUUUUGUAAAAAAGAUACACCGGUAGAGAGAGAACGGUGAAGGCCAUGUGGAGAAAUGAAAACGAUUUGCAGAAAAUGUUUGCUGAUCCCUGGUCUAGAAGCCCGGCUCUGCACCUUGCUCUCCUCGUCUGUGUAAUGUGGAAUCCGAGUUCCCUUCAUCGGUUUGAGGAAGUUCCUUCCUUUUCUCUGGUUUGCGGAGAGUUUUUCUCAAGAAUGGAUGUUGGAUUUGUGUCCAAUGCCUUUUCUGCGUCUUUUGAGAGGAGCAUUAUGGCUUUUCUUUUGGAGUCUAUUAACACGUCUUUUCUCAGCUGUGUCUCUGAAGAGCUCAGAUCACCCUGGCCACAGGGAUUGGUCCAGAGAUGGGGAAGUCAGCCUUAGGACGUUUGUUGGAAAUUCUGGAAAGGGUUCUCUUUCCCCUGGCAUGGCCAAGCUGAUAGAAGUAUACCCAAAGAUGCUUCGUCUGUGCUCGGGGAGACUCUUCUGGAGAAUAAAGCCACACAGGAGAGCAGAGUGCAGUGAUGGAGAACCCAUGUACUCAGUAACCUCAGUAGAGUGCCUGGAUACAGCCACACCUGAAACACUGAAACCAUACCUCCUCCCGCACAGUUCACUUCCAAGAGCCGGUUCCUUUUUUCUCUUGCUUGCUGAAGCCAGUUUGACUUGGGUUUCUGUCUCUCACAAAGCGAGGGGUUGGCCAGUAUGGGGAGGGGACUUAACCUCUCUGAACCGGAGUCUCUUCAUCUGUCAAAUGAUCUCCUUACUCGCCCUGAAGGGUGGGGCCCCGCAGGCCCGCCGGCAAGAGCGGGAAUGGUCUUACAAAAGCUCUUGCCAGGGUUAUCUCACCUGGUCCUUUGGAGAACUCUGUGAGGUGCUUAGUGACUGUAAUGGUCGUGCUCCACUUGGAGGGGAGGACUCUCGCAGUCAGGGAGGUAGCAGGUACCGGAUCGCUUUCGCUUCAUCCUCGCCACCCCCCCCCAAAAGAAAUAAAUAAAAACUUAAAAAGAAAUCCCCCCCAUUGGUGUAUGUGUCAGCCUCCACUGAGUGCAGGGUGGGAGCAGACCCUGGCUAACCGCUGGGGUCCUUGGGCAGGUGGUCGUUGGGAUAAGGCUGCCUGGGAGGGCGGGCAGCGUUUGCCCUAAAAGCAGGAGGACACUGUGGUUGUGAAUCGUCCCGAGAAGAGGAGGGUCCCCGGACAGGUGGAAGCAGGAAGCCCUCCCUUGAACAGGGAAGUGCUCCCCAGGCACCAGGGACAACUUGUAAAGAUCAGCAGGAUCCUGGGGGUCUGGGAAGGGUUCCUGGACAGCGGGGGUUGAAGAUGGCACGCGCCUCGUGGAGAACAGCAAAGGCCAUCAGAAACUGAGCGUGAACCACGUACUCAGGCCCGGGCUUGGGGUUUCGAUCCCAUCACGCCGGUACGACCAGGUAUUGUCCUCCCAUCGCUCGGGAGGAAGUACCAAGCGCUAUGGGGAUAACAGCUUUCUCAGAUCACGCAGUUAGGAGGAACCUGGGUUCGGAUUCAAGCCUGGGUCGAAAGUUCGUGACUGUAGCUCAAGUGGAGGCAGAGGGGACCAGAGGGGGGGAGCUUUGUGGUGGUCCCCACUUUGGCAAUGAGCCACACCAUGCCGUGGGAGUCCAACUCCUGUGACUCGGGCGGUGAGUCUUCCCCGGCUCUCCCUGCACCCUUGGGCCCCUAUGUGAUUGAGCCAUCGGGACCUACGGGCAGGGUCAGAUGGGCCGCAGUGACAGGCAGCAGGCCUGGCCUGCAGCCUGAGUAUGGGUCAGCCGGAGACCCCAAGGGGAAGGUGAAGCUUGGGCACAGAGUCUGGCACAGCGUCAGCUGGGCACUGGCGUCCGUGUGGCCCGCUUCUCCCACGGCCAUUCCGGCACCUGACAGCCCCGGGCCGGGAAGGGAAGGCUCGGAGUGCCUGGGCUCGACGUGGAGCUGGCAGGACCCGAUUCUCCAUGUUCUCAUCACAGAACUACACCUGGGCGAAGCUUCCAAAGGAGCCACCCAGGCUAGGCUUCCCUCCCCAGGGCUUUGGACGCCGGCACCCUCCCAGCCUCCUGUGCUCGCAGCGCUGGAGAAAAGAAAACGCGUGCCCCCGAGCCAGCUGCAUGAAGGCGAGGGGUCUGUCCUUUGCUCCCAGACCAUGUCAAACUACAGAGUUAUAAACGAGAUGGAAAUACAUUUCUAAAGUAUCUGCUGCUUUAGCUCUUCUGUUCCAGGUUGAGCUGCCUGCUGGUUCCGGAGAAAGGACAAGAAAGCCCAGGGCUGCCCGGAAGCAGAGGCUGAGACUGAGCCUGGGGUCCCACCUUCCCUCCCUGGGGCGCUGCAAAGACUCCAGGCCUCCUGCGGGACCCUGGAUCUGAGGCUCCCGCACAGACUCCAGAAUGGCCUUUCCUUCCACGUCUGAGUUCCCUUCUGCGUGGGGUCCCAGGUCUUCCUCCACCCCAUGGGCCAGAACCUUUUAUCUGGGAGCCCAGGGCUCUUUUCCCGGCCUUGCCUUGAGGGAGGCGUCUGAGUCCCGGAAGCUCACCUGCCGUCAUAGCUUUCGUCCACUUGCUUCCGAGGCACCACGCCUCGCUCUCCUGAGCGCCCAGUGCCGUGAUGAGUGUCGAGGACCAUGAUCCUCUUCACCUCUGUGUGCCUCUCUAAAAUCAAAGCCAGUCCUCUAACCAACCAACCCGGCCUCUGCUAAACAGACCAUAGCAGAGCCCUCCCACGUAUCGACGUGUAUUUCAACCGGGGUCUUCUGAAGAUGAUGCCUCCGUUCGCUUUAAAGGUCUCGGGCUCACGUCAUCCCCACGAUCAUCCCAGUGCCACGUCCCUAUUUUGCAGAUGUUGAAAUGGAGGCUCAGAGCAGGGGACUCCCUCAAGAAAUCAUGAAUCCCGAACCCCUGCCUCAGGCUCUGCUGUUAAGAAACCCACGCUU